CAGCAGCCCGCGGGAAUACAGAGGGUGCGAGCGUUAAUCGGAUUUACUGGGCGUAAAGCGUGCGUAGGCGGCUAAUUGAGUCGGAUGUGAAAUCCCCGAGCUUAACUUGGGAAUUGCAUUCGAUACUGGUUAGCUAGAGUGUGGGAGAGGAUGGUAGAAUUCCAGGUGUAGCGGUGAAAUGCGUAGAGAUCUGGAGGAAUACCGAUGGCGAAGGCAGCCAUCUGGCCUAACACUGACGCUGAGGUACGAAAGCAUGGGGAGCAAACAGGAUUAGAGACCCGCGUAGUCCCUGUCUCUUAUA
rnacentral:rRNA from 1 species